AUUGGAUCAAAAGUGGUUUUGAAUGAUGUAGAAGCAGCUGAACUUACUGCACUCAUUCGGCAGCCAGCCAGGGUGGGAAAGCAUCCCGGGGGAAGGCAGGACCGGCCCGGAGUGAAGCUCUCUGUAAUUGAGGGAACGGCCGCUUGAUGGCAACAUCCUACCGCACAUGGGGACCGGUGCCAGGGGGACCGCGGAGCCGGGGACACGCACGGUCACAGGACACGGCAUGGCUUCUCCAGAACGGCUGCACGUGCUGCCAAGUGCAUACCUGGAGCAGGGAAUGCCUCUUCCUCACUUCUGCAACAGUCAUUUAUGUGUUGGGGCUGGGACUGAAAAUACAUGUCACAGAUGGUGCUAGGUCAAAGAAGCAGCCUGUCUUUGCAGGACAAGCAGUUCUGAAGUUCCGAGCAUCUCUACAUUUUCAUCUAUGCAGAAGUUUUCUCCUUAGCCUUUUUUGCUUACCUAAGCCAUUGGUGAUUUGCUUACGGUUUCCUCUCCUCUUUUACUUCGUAUAACAGGAAACAUGCAAAGUGCUUUGCUGGAAUCAAAAGUACAAAUUUGUUGCUUUUGGAAUCAAGAACAAAUGGAAAAACUUGUGGGGUUUUUUUUUUUUCUUUUUGUUCUUUGCCAGUAACUGACCUGUAAUACAGGAAGAGAGGAAUAUAAAAUAAACUUGGAAAAAAGAAUUAGGUUUCCACAUCUGCUUUAAGCAGACUAAUGCAUGAACAUGUCUAUAAAAAUGAGUGCUGGGACCAGUAGGACCAGUAGGAAAGUGGCCACUCAGUGACCACUGAAUGGUCCAGGCAAACUGAGGCACAAAAUGCCUGCUGUGCAGCUUAGUGUCCUGGAUGAGUUCCUAGGAUUUUAUUUGACCCAGUUGGGAUGCUAAUGGAUAACUCUUAUUAUAUGGUUUUUCUGGAAAACCACAGAGGGUAAGGAUUGUAAUAAAUUCCAUGAGUUACCCCUAUUGGUUAUCAGUAGAAAAUAAUACGAAAAAUAAAAUUACCUGGAAUUCUGCAAGAACUACUUUUUUUAGUGGGCCACUACCACCCCUUCAGUAGGUAGAAUGUCCUAAAUGCAGUAAAUGAAAAACCAAAAAAUUUUCAAAUUAAAAGAAAACACUAAUAGUUGUGCUGUACUAUUGGGUAGAAUUUCAAACCAUUGAUACUAAAUGUAGAAAACAAAUUGGAUUGAGAUUCUUAAUUCCUUUUAUUAUUUUUUUAGGGGAUGAAAAGCUUUAUCAGAACUAAGCUCAUCUAAAACUUAUUAUUCUUUCAGUAUGCUAAUUAAUAGAGCAAGAUCAUGGAUUUGUUAAUUAAAAUAAGAUACCUCAGGGAAACUGAAAUUAAUUUUGCUGUCCUAAUAGAGUUACCAUUACGCCAUUAAAUCUUAUGGAUGUCUUACCCAUUUCUCUUCUUUUCCUUUUCUCAACAAGUAAAAAAAUGUUUUAUUUAGUUUGAAUUUAGAAUCAGAAUAUUGAAUGGUGACUUUCUGAAAAAAGUGGAGAAGAUCAACCAAUAAUCUUGGAAUAGCUUGGUUUUACAAAAAUGCUAGAAUGCAGCCUUCAUGUGAGUGUCAGGACUGAUCACCUCAUGUGCUCUGAAUGAGCACAAAACUGUUCACUUUUGGAUCACCAGGUCUGAGCUGCUCUGUGUAACUUGUUAACAGUCACUUCAGCAGCCUGCUAGAAUAACCUGGUAGUGUUGGCUUAUAUUCUCCAGAGCUAGAACUAGCAAAACUCAGCUGCUGGGCAGGCAUUGUAAUGAUUGCUAAAGAUAUAUUGCACCUUAAAUGGAAUGUCUUCCACAGAUGGAAGGUGGUAUCUGACAGCAGAUCCUGUGGUGCACUGGGUAUGUCCGUGUUGGUGAUUUAGUUCAUACAGAGUAUUUUAGGGGAAUCUCCUGGUCAUCCCUACCUGCAGUGCUUGAGAGUAGUUUUGGCUCAGUCCUGCAGUGUGCAGACUGAUUCCUGCUAGUGGGACCAAAUUGGAAGAUAAGCUCCAGGAGAACACCAAAAGGUGUUCAGCUGAAGAGCCACCCAAGAGCCGAAGCAAAGCCCAGAGGCACCAAGCACAGUGAGCCCUGGGUGUCUCCUCUUUGUGCAGGGUUGCUGCUGCUGUGCUGUGCUCUUGGUUAACAAGGGUAGAGUUUGGGUUGACCAGAUCUCACCUGGACCUGCCUUGGCAGGAGCUCAUACUGCUGGCCUGAGAGUUGAUGCCAACCUUGAUUUCAAAGUUAGUCAUUUUUCCAGAAGGAAAAGCACCUGGAAUAUCCUCAGUGUUUUCCGAUACUCUGACUUUUCAGUACUCUUGCUUCCAAUUUAGUUUCAGAGGAGAGAAAGGGAGAAGGAGGGGUAAAUGUCAGAGAAGUACUAGUUUUUCUUCUACAACAAAGCACAAUUCUUCUAAUUUUGCUUGAUGAAUUUUCAAGGCCAUCAAAGAAAUUCUCCAUAAUCACCAAGAGUGUUAAUUGCAAUUUGUAUCCAAGACUUCUGUCAUUCAAUGUACUAGAAGACAAAAAUAAUCUUACUAAUAUACCAGUGUAUACUGUCUACUUUAUUAUUUUAUUAUAGGCUUAAAUAUGUGAAAUUUAGUUAGAGACAAGCACUAAAUCUAAUUUUUAGGGACUGCUGAGCACUUGCAGUUUGGUUAGUCCUGUAAAAGCUUCUGACUUCCCAGGAAGAAUGUCUGCUGUUUGCUUUCAGCCUGUGAAGUGUUCAGAGGCAUUGGUUACAUGUAAGGACAGGCAGGAUGCAGUUCUGUUACUGUUCAGUCUGUGUUUAAUCAGCAAACAGAAUUUGAGGUGUUUUGUGAAUUUCAGUUGAACUCAGCAGAUGGUUUCAAGUAAAAAUAACAACAGGUGAAAUUAAUUUCAACCUCUCAAAAUAGAUUAAUGACAGUUUACUAAACUAAGCAGAAAAGUAUCCUAAAAUAUCUUUGUUUCCAAUACACACUUAAAUCAAGUAAACUCUGUGCCUCUAGUGUGCUCUUGCUACAGACCUAUAAAGUUAUUCUUUCUCACACUCAAACUAAAUUAAUAUUAAAGGAUAGUUAUCUGGACCAGAAUAGAUCUUCAGGAUAGAUUCACCUUCAGGAUAAAUGUAAAAAGAUUCCCUGAGAGUGUUCAUUAUUUACAACAAAAUCACUUGGAAGUGAGAGACCAGUUUGAAAAUUUCGCCAUGACCAGUGACGAGUUUUGGUACAGGUUUUGGCGCAAGACAUACUCAGGUCUUCUAUGCUGCUCCUUCCUGGCCUUAUUUUUUGCUUAAAUCGCAUGGUCUGCUUACAUAAAUCAGUCUCUUGAUGGCCACACUUCCUCUACUUGCAUUCUAAAACCGCUUAAUGUGAUUAAAGUCUAAAUAUUUGGUUCUGGUGUUGAAUUCAGAUUUUGGACUGAUUGCUUUGUGCAGCUGUUUCAGAACUGGUAGGAAACCAGAACAUGCAUGAGCUUAGUGACAGUGCCAAAGCCCUUUGAAGGUUGUGUUUUCAUAAGAACAAGAUUUUAGAGAGUAUUAAAAAAACCAAAAUCUCAAUGCAACAGAAACCCACCUCCAAAAAAAACCCCUGACAAAACCAAAAACCAAACACAUCUGUUCCCCCAAAACCUCCCAAACAGACAAACCCCAUGCCAAGACUUUCUUUUUUUCUCUGUGUCACGAUUUGGUAUGGAACAUGCUUUAUGAAUUUCCAGUGGAUGGUUGUAUUUUGCUGACAUCUAUAUUUAGUUUCUGAUCCACAUCAAUACUUGCUGGGGGUAGCACUAAAACUUUUGAUACAUAUUCAGUACCAUGUGCCACCUCUAAACACAAAUGCUUGAAAGGUUUCUUUCCUUACACAAUCACUUUAAGAUUGCUAUUUUGAUCCCAUUUCUCCCAGUUGAGUUAAAUGCAAAAUAAAGAUCAGGUUGCUGGAGAGUUGUUCUGUUAAAGAUUGCGUUUUGCUGUUAAUUGGUGCACGACAGACGCCUUGUGUAACAGCUACCUGACAGUGCUACCUCAGGAGGCAGAUCCGCAGCGUGUGCGCUCCGUGCGCUGCCGGCGCCGGGACCUGCCUGCGGAAUUCCAGCGUGAUUGCAGAUGUCCUUGGAGGGGAGGAGUUCCUGGAGGCACCAGCUGAAGCAAGACGCCUCACAAACAAAAGUUCAAGGUGAGAACCCUACUAGAUGCGGCUGAUUUAAGAAAUUGGUUAUUUUUUUUUUCUGUCCAGUGCAGAAAGCAGUACUGGGUAAAAUAAUGUAACUUGGGG
rnacentral:lncRNA from 13 species